GACGAACGCUGGCGGCGUGCUUAACACAUGCAAGUCGAACGCUGAAGCCCAGCUUUUGUUGGGUGGAUGAGUUGCGAACGGGUGAGUAACACGUGAGUAACCUGCCUCCUCCUUUGGGAUAACGCCCGGAAACGGGUUCUAAUCCUGGAUAUUCACUGGUCUUCGCAUGGGGGUUGGUGGAGAGGGAUUUUCUGGUGGGGGAUGGGCUCGGGGCCUAUCAGCUUGUUGGUGGGGUGAUGGCCUACCAAGGCUUUAACGGGUAGCAGGCCUGAGAGGGUGACCGGUCACAUUGGGACUGCGGUACGGCCCAGACUGCGACGGGAGGCAGAAGUGGGGAGGAGGGCGCAAUGGGCGCUAGCCUGAUGCAGCGACGCCGCGUGAGGGAUGGAGGCGUUCGGGCUGUGAACCUCUUUCGCUUAUGGUCAAGCCGCAACAAUGAUUGUGGUGAGGGUAGUGGGUAAAGAAGCGCCGGCUAACUACGUG
rnacentral:rRNA from 1 species